GUAGCGCGCUAACAUUCCAUAAACCCGAUUUUGUUCUGUGGGUGACCAUGAUAACGCUAUACAAACUCCGAUUUUUGUUAGCACCUCACGGAUUUAAACAUGCAAACAAAUGUAUAUCAAACGGACAACUUCUUAACUUCGUCUUACUUCCGUGUUUCGCUUCAGGAAGAGCUGUCAGCUCUUACAGGAAAGACAUUAACGGUGUUUUUCACUGUAAAGCAGUUAAAGGACACUUGUCUCUGAACUCGUUCAGCACUGGCACAGUCAACAGACUCUGCUGGAAAUGCGGAUCUUCUGCUGAAUUAUUUUUCUGUUCAUCCUGUAACGUGAUCCAACCUCCUGAUGACAAGACGAAUUAUUUUGACAUCUUGAACUGUGAACAAAAAUUUUCUUUGGACACCCAGAAACUUCAGAAAAGAUAUGUGGAGCUGCAAAGAUCUCUCCAUCCUGACAACUUCAGCCAGAAAUCAUCGAAAGAGCAGGAAUAUUCAGAAGAACAAUCAGCUCUGGUGAACAGUGCCUACAGAACGCUGCAGAAACCUCUGAGUCGGGCCGUCUACAUGCUGGAGCUGCGAGGGGUUUUGCUGGAGGAAGGAACGGAUGCCGCCGCGGACCCCGCGUUUCUCCUAGAGGUCCUGGAGAUCAAUGAGAGCCUCGCAGAGACGCGGAGCCAAGAUGAGGUCAGCGCUAUCGGGCGGUCUGUGCGAGAGAAACUGAAAGACUUGACUGAACGGAUGAAUUCAUCUCUGAACAAAGGGGAUCUGCUGACCGCCAAAGAGCUCCUGGCCCAAAUGAAGUACUUCACAAAUAUAGAGGAGAAGUUUCGGUAGGGAUGACCAGACGUACGUUUUCUGGCUUUUGGUGUCCUGUCCCUGACUGGAGCUGUCACCGUUUUCCAGUACACUUAAAACACCACAACUAGGCUGCUGGUUACCAGAGCAAUCGUUCCGGAAUAAGCUGCCUGAAUGGAUACUUAAUCUGCGCACCCCAACCGGCCUCCCGUAUCACACAGCAAGCGUCCUGUAGCGAUGUUCUGGGGAGUGGAAGUGGAUAUUAUUAAUCAGGAGGAUCAGAUGGAAAUCAGUUUUUAUAGCCAAGC